rnacentral:rRNA from 1 species
UACGUAGGGACCAAGCGUUGUUCGGAUUUACUGGGCGUAAAGGGCGCGUAGGCGGCAUAUUAAGUCAGCUGUGAAAUCUCCGAGCUUAACUCGGAACUGUCAGCUGAUACUGAUGUGCUAGAGUGCAGAAAGGGCAAUCAGAAUUCUUGGUGUAGCGGUGAAAUGCGUAGAUAUCAAGAGGAAUACCUGAGGCGAAGGCGGGUUGCUAGGCUGACACUGACGCUGAGGCGCGAAAGCUAGGGUAGCAAACGGG